rnacentral:rRNA from 1 species
UACGAAGGGGGCUAGCGUUGCUCGGAAUCACUGGGCGUAAAGGGUGCGUAGGCGGGUUUUUAAGUCAGGGGUGAAAUCCUGGAGCUCAACUCCAGAACUGCCUUUGAUACUGAAGAUCUUGAGUUCGGGAGAGGUGAGUGGAACUGCGAGUGUAGAGGUGAAAUUCGUAGAUAUCGCAAGAACACCAGUGGCGAAGGCGGCUCACUGGCCCGAUACUGACGCUGAGGCACGAAGGCCAGGG